rnacentral:rRNA from 1 species
UACGGGGGGGGCAAGCGUUGUUCGGAAUUACUGGGCGUAAAGGGCUUGUAGGUGGCCAACUAAGUCAGACGUGAAAUCCCUCGGCUUAACCGGGGAACUGCGUCUGAUACUGGAUGGCUUGAGUGUGGGAGAGGGAUGCGGAAUUCCAGGUGUAGCGGUGAAAUGCGUAGAUAUCUGGAGGAACACCGGUGGCGAAGGCGGGUCUCUGGGCCGAUACUGACGCUGAGGAGCGAAAGCGUGGGGAGCGAACAGG